GGACUACCCGGGUUUCUAAUCCUGUUUGCUCCCCACGCUUUCGUUGUUGAGUGUCAGUGCCUAUCCAGUUUGCCGCCUUCGCCGCUGGUGUUCCUCCCGAUCUCUACGCAUUUCACCGCUACACCGGGAAUUCCACAAACCCCUCUAGGACUCUAGUCUUGCCGUUUCUAAGGCACUUCCACAGUUAAGCCAUGGGAUUUCACCUUAGACAAACAAGACCACCUACCAACCCUUUACGCCCAAUAAUUCCGAGCAACGCUUGCACCCUUCGUAUUACCGCGGCUGCUGGCAC
rnacentral:rRNA from 1 species